rnacentral:rRNA from 1 species
AGCAGCCGCGGUAAUUCCAGCUCCAAUAGCGUAUAUUAAAGUUGUUGCAGUUAAAAAGCUCGUAGUUGAAUUUCGGGAUCAAUUUGCUGGUCGUGCCUUCGGUACGCACUGGUAUUAUUGGUUUCUCCUUUCUGAUGAAUCGCGAUGUCAUUAAUUUGGUGUCGUGGGGAAUCAGGACCGUUACUUUGAAAAAAUUAGAGUGUUUAAAGCAGGCUCACGCUUGAAUACAUUAGCAUGGAAUAAUGAAAUAGGACGUUUGAUUCUAUUCUGUUGGUUUCUAGGAUCGACGUAAUGAUUAAUAGGGAUAGUUGGGGGCAUUAGUAUUCAAUUGUCAGAGGUGAAAUUCUUGGAUUUAUUGAAGACUAACUACUGCGAAAGCAUUUGCCAAGGAUGUUUUCAUUAAUCAAGAACGAAAGUUAGGGGAUCGAAGACGAUCAGAUACCGUCGUAGUCUUAACCAUAAACUAUGCCGACUAGGGAUCGGAUGAUGUUAAUUUUUAAUGACUCAUUCGGCG